CAGACAGACAAGUGACGAUUGAACAGAUGUGCAGUGGUUACAGAAUAGUUACAUGGAGCUCAUUAUCUGACCACACUGUUGGGCUCAUGGUGAGUGACAAACUUAAGGGAAGUCACUGAUUACAAUGUGGAAUAACACUGAGAUGUUAAAUAAUUUGGAACAAAUUAUGGGAAAAAGUAGGAGUUUAAUGAGUUUAGAAUAAACCUGCAAUGAUACUUGUCUCUGUGAUGCUGAAUACUUUAUUACUCUUAUGAUCUAUAGUUAGUUGCAAAUGUGAAGUUGUUUUAACUUUAAGACUUUGUCUUCUAGGAUACAGGAGCUGGGAGCUAAACAAGCUAAACAUUUAAUUGCUGACUAAUGUUUUUACACAGGGUUACAGCUUGGAGUGAAGCUGCUCCAAGGGGCCAACCCUGGAGAUUGUUUUAGGGAGACUGUGCAACAUUCUUGUACAUGUCUCAUUGGGGAGUUGACACAGGGCGAAAGCCGUGUGGCGAGAGGAGUGUCGUCUUUUUGAUUUGUAGAUGUCGUGAGGUGCCAUGACGAGAAGGAGUGACUCAGAGGAUCGUCCACAAGAUGGAAGCUGAGGCCUGGAGAGAGUCUUCAGGAGGAUCAGAGAUCACCUUCAGCACAGAGAGCUGUGCUACUGGGCUUCCAAAGGAUCGUCACGAGGAGACUUUGCACAGCAAAAUCUUAAAUAAGAUGAAAGAGUUUCGAUGUUGACGUUAAGGAAGACAACUACGGGGUACGACGUGCUCUGCCUUAAAUCUUCAGCAGCAUUGGAAAAUGGAACCUGAGGGAGCGUGCCAAGCUCCAAAAAGUGACAGCGCAGAGGAGGUCCAGCGAUGGACUUGUGGUUCUGUGAACAGCACAAAUGCCAGAGGAGGGCACUUCUCAUGAGAGUAGAGAGCGCGAGGAGAAGAAGUGUAAGCUGAGGGAUGACUUACUAAAUGUGCCACUCAUUGAGGGAAAGGUUUGGUUUGUUGAUGGUUUGAGUUUACAAUAGCAGAGGGACAGACUAGAACAGGUUUUACUGUAGCAGACAGUGAGAGAGAGUUAUCUAUGUAGGACAACUAGCAUGUUUCAUAUUUGCUUGAGCAGCAGAGAUGCUAGCUUUAACGGAAGCGUGUAAAGCUGUAGAGAGACAAUAUACACUGAUAGGCAGUAUGUAUUUGCUACUGUACAUUUCUUUGUAGUGCAGUGAGUGAGACGAGGUGUGACAACCUCUACAGGGAAACCUGUAGAACACACCAAACUCUUGCAAAAUCUGCUGGAGGCAGUGUUAUUACCCAGUAGAAUUGCCGUUUGUAAAUGUGCAGCACACAUGUGAGGGAAAGAUCCAGUUGCAUUAGGGAAAGUUUUUGCAGAUAAGAUCGCAAAAGAGGCAGCUGUAGUUAAACAUGGUGUUAACCUUUUAUCAAUACAACAUCAGCAGACAUGCAGGCCCACUCACCUACAGCAGGAAAACAGUUGUGACUUACAGAGGGAGCGAGCUUAUAGGAUGGUGUUUAUUAUCUGUGGGAUAAACCAGUACUGCCUAAUAAUUUGUAUAAGACUGCUGCUGUUUUGAGCCAUGGGCUAUACCAUGUCUCAAACAGGAGGGAGAUGAGCAGUA
ensembl:lncRNA